GAAGCAGCUGUGAGGAGGCAAUAGAAGCUUUAACCUGACUAAAUGAAGCUCGUGUUUGUUGGGAGAGUUGCUAACGGGCUGACAGUAAGCAGGAGAAAAAGAAACCAACCCUAUCUCCAGUUCAGCCCAGCAGGACAAGAGGUUUCCUUAGUCCCACCCACAAAGCACAGGGAUGUGUUAUAUAUAGGGCCAAAGGACCUAGUACCGAGGUCUAAUUUGAUUAGAGUUUUUCUCAGGAAAGGAAAGCUAUAGUUGAACAUUGAAGACCUUAAAUUUCAGCUACCUAUGGAUGUAUCAGUGUUGCAUGAGUAAAAAGGAUGUUAAGUAGCCUGACUUCAAACAUUGAGCAAAAAAGCUUUCUCCUUCAACACAGGCAAGUUCUCUGAUUCCCAGGCAACUAUUUAAAGACAAUUUUCUUUGGGAAGAUUCUUUGCCUGUAGCAGAAGAGUGGCUCUCACCCCAGGUGAGACACCCUGACAGCACCACCCAAGUGCUCUCUGUGAAUAAAGGUGCUAGCUCU